AUUUCGAUUAACUUGGAUGCAGCGGUAGUCUCAAAAAGAUUUAGAUCUUCGUGAAAACCCUAACGGGAAGACCAUUACGCUAGAGGUCGAGUCAUCUGACACCAUCGACUAUGUGAAAGCGAAGAUCCAGGGAUCUCACCGGACCAGCAGCCUUUGAUUUUCGCCGGGAAGCAGCUCGAGGACGGCCGCAGUUCUUAUCAAAUAAAAAAAAAGUUUCGAUAAACUUGAUUUGUGCAGUUGGUCUCGUCUGCUCUUCAAAGAUGUCGUUUAUCAGAUACAGAUCCUCCGAUUACGUCUAUUUCGAUCGCAGAUACGGGAUCGACGAAGCGGCUGCUACUCCUCUGCAGGCAGUGAAUAGGGGUGACUCUGACAGCAAAGUUAACACAACACGGAAACUCUUUUCCUUUCUCUCUAAUUUUAGUGUUUAGGUAUCCUUUUUAUUUUAUUUUAACAAUUUUAGUUAUAUUCAACCUUCCUUUUGCUUUUUCUGAUCUCUCAAAUUCCAAACCUUCGGAAUCCAAACACAUUUUUUGAACCUCGCCACUCUCUCGUCUAGAUCGUUCUUCCUUCUUUUAGCCGUAGGAAGAAUGUCGAUGACAGAGGCAGUGACAAAGAUCCAUCCAUAGAUGAUAGAUUAGUUAGUGUUUUGUUUCCCUUUACAAUUGUCUCUAUAGGGUUUUGGAUGAUUUAGAUUUUAGACCUCUAUAAUGGGGAAUUGCUUUGGAUCUUCCCCCAAGAAUGAAGAUGUUAAUGUUGACGACUCCUCAGUGAACUCCAAACCCUUUUCACUUUAUGCUUUGAUUGAGAGAGGAGUUUGAAGUAAUUUAGGUAACAAGAAGAGAACAAAAGUUUUAAUUUUUUUGGUUUGUUAUGGUGGGGGCGAUGGCAAACAAUGGAAGAAUCCGGUCAGCUUCUCCGGUGAUUAAUGGGUCAAAAGAUCUGACUCCGAACAGCGCUCCAGCGAGCACAACGGGAUCUGAAUAUGGUCCUGUUGAGUUCACAAGAGAUUACAUUGAAACUCUUCUUAAUGAACGAAUCAAGUACAAGAGCAAAUUCAACUACAAGGAGAGAUGUGAGAACAUGAUGGAAUAUAUAAAAAGGCUUAGACUUUGCAUUAGGUGGUUUCAAGAACUCGAGUUGGAUUAUGCUUUUGAGCAAGAGAAGUUGAAGAAUGCAUUGGAAUUGAAUGAGAAGCAUUGUGCUGACAUGGAGGUUAGUUUGAGAAACAAAGAAGAGGAGCUGAAUAUGAUAAUUGAAGAGCUGAGGAAAAACUUUGAAUCUGUUCAAGUGCAACUUGCCAGGGAACAAACGGAGAAGUUGGCUGCGAAUGAUUCUCUUGGAAAAGAGAAAGAAACAAGACUUGCUGUUGAAAAGGCACAAGCUGGUCUUGUAGAAGAGCUAGACAAAGCACAAGGAGAUCUUCAAACGGCUAACCAGAGGAUACAAUCGGUAAAUGACAUGUACAAACUGUUGCAAGAGUAUAACUCAAGCCUGCAGCUGUAUAACAGCAAGCUACAAGGUGAUCUUGAUGAAGCUCAUGAAACUAUAAAACGCGGUGAGAAAGAAAGGACUGCCAUUGUCGAAAAUAUUGGCAACUUGAAGGGCCAGUUUUCAGCAUUGCAGGAUCAGCUUGCUGCUUCUAAGGCUUCUCAAGAAGAUAUCAUGAAGCAGAAAGGUGAGUUGGAAAACGAAAUUGCGAGUCUCAAGGUCGAGCUUCAGCAGGCCAAGGAAGACCGUGAUCGCCAUUUAGUGGAAGUACAAACCUUACAAACUGAGGCAACCAAGUACAAUGACUUCAAAGACACCAUAACUGAACUUGAGACUACAUGUUCAUCCCAGAGUACUCAGAUACAAGAGUUACAGGAUCGACUAGUGUAUUCUGAGAGGCGACUGCAGGUGUCUGAUCUAACUACUUUUGAGAAAAUAAAUGAGUUUGAAGACCAGAAGCAAAGCAUUAUCGAUCUGAAAAGUCGAGUAGAAGAAGCAGAACUUAAACUCGUUGAAGGGGAAAAACUACGGAAGAAGUUGCACAAUACCAUUCUUGAAUUGAAAGGCAAUAUACGUGUGUUCUGUAGAGUUAGACCUUUAUUGCCUGGUGAGAAUAAUGGUGAGGAGGGAAAAACUAUUUCUUACCCGACAUCUCUAGAAGCACUUGGUCGCGGUAUUGACUUGUUGCAAAAUGGGGGUUCUAAUGUGCUUUCUUGGUCACUGCGUAUGAAAGAGGCGAUUGGUGCUGCUAGAGGGCUUUGUUUUUUGCACGAAGCUAAGGAUCAAGUCAUUUACAGAGACUUCAAAGCAGCAAAUAUCCUUCUUGAUUCAGGAUUCAACCCAAAACUCUCAGACUUUGGAUUGGCGAAAGAAGGUCCAAAAGACAACCGUUCACAUGUGACAACCCAAGUCAUCGGUACAGAAGGUUACGCAGCUCCAGAAUAUCUAGCAACAGGUCAUCUAACAACGAAAUGUGACGUCUACAGCUUUGGUGUAGUCUUGCUAGAGAUUCUAUCUAGACGUAGAGCAAUAGACAAAACUAAAGCUCGAGAAGAAGAAUAUUUAGUGGAAUGGGCGACACCUUACUUGCGAGACAAGCGAAAAGUGUUUAGGAUAAUGGACACGAAGCUUGUGGGUCAAUACCCUUAGAAAGCAGCGUUUAUGAUGUCUUUCUUGGCUUUACAAUGUAUUGGAGAGGUUAAAGUUAGACCAUCGAUGCCUGAGGUCUUGUCUCUUCUUGAGAAAGUUACAAUUCCAAGACAUCGAAAGAGUAGAAGCAGAGGUUUUGCUACUAACUCUUCUUCCAAACGGUUUCUCAGACACCCUAAUUAAGGACUCAAAAUCUCUUUGGCUUUUGGAUCGUUUCUUUUGUGGAAAUGGAAUAUAAAAACUUUUUUUUGGUUACGUCAUUGAUAAUAUAGAAGAAUAAAAAAAGCUUGGCCAUGA